rnacentral:rRNA from 1 species
AACGAACGCUGGCGGCGUGCCUAAGACAUGCAAGUCGGACGGUAAGGCCCCUUCGGGGGUACACGAGUGGCGCAAGGGUGAGUAACGCGUGGGUAACCUACCCUCGGGCUUGGGACAACUUCGGGAAACUGAAGCUAAUACCGGAUAAGACCACGGGAUCUCCGGAUCCUGCGGAAAAAGGUGGCCUCUUCUUGAAAGCUACCGCCUGAGGAUGGGCCCGCGUGCCAUUAGCUAGUUGGUGAGGUAACGGCUCACCAAGGCAUUGAUGGCUAGCUGGUCUGAGAGGAUGAUCAGCCACACUGGAACUGAGACACGGUCCAGACUCCUACGGGAGGCAG